CGUGAGAUGUUGGGUUAAGUCCCGCAACGAGCGCAACCCUUGUCAUUAGUUGCUACGAAAGGGCACUCUAAUGAGACUGCCGGUGACAAACCGGAGGAAGGUGGGGAUGACGUCAAGUCCUCAUGGCCCUUAUGGCUAGGGCCUCACACGUCAUACAAUGGUCGGAACAGAGGGAAGCGAAGCCGCGAGGUGAAGCCAAUCCCAGAAAACCGAUCGUAGUCCGGAUUGCAGUCUGCAACUCGACUGCAUGAAGUCGGAUC
rnacentral:rRNA from 1 species